CGUAGGCGGACUCGUAAGUCAGUGGUGAAAUCUCAUAGCUUAACUAUGAAACGCCAUUGAUACUGCGGGUCUUAGAGUAAAGUAGAAGUGGCUGGAAUAAGUAGUGUAGCGGUGAAAUGCAUAGAUAUUACUUAGAACACCAAUUGCGAAGGCAGGUCACUAUGUUUUAACUGACGCUGAUGGACGAAAGCGUGGGGAGCGAACAGGAUUAGAUACCCUGGUAGUCCACGCCGUAAACGAUGCUAACUCGUUUUUGGGGCUUUAAGUUUCAGAGACUAAGCGAAAGUGAUAAGUUAGCCACCUGGGGAGUACGUUCGCAAGAAUGAAACUCAAAGGAAUUGACGGGGGCCCGCACAAGCGGUGGAUUAUGUGGUUUAAUUCGAUGAUACGCGAGGAACCUUACCAAGGCUUAAAUGGGAAUUGAUCGGUUUAGAAAUAGACCUUCCUUCGGGCAAUUUUCAAGGUGCUGCAUGGUUGUCGUCAGCUCGUGCCGUGAGGUGUUAGGUUAAGUCCUGCAACGAGCGCAACCCCUGUCACUAGUUGCUAGCAUUAAGUUGAGGACUCUAGUGAGACUGCCUACGCAAGUAGAGAGGAAGGUGGGGAUGACGUCAAAUCAUCACGGCCCUUACGCCUUGGGCCACACACGUAAUACAAUGGCCAGUACAGAGGGCAGCUACCAGGUGACUGGAUGCGAAUCUCGAAAGCUGGUCUCAGUUCGGAUUGGAGUCUGCAACUCGACUCUAUGAAGCUGGAAUCGCUAGUAAUCGCGCAUCAGCCAUGGCGCGGUGAAUACGUUCCCGGGCCUUGUACACACCGCCCGUCAAGCCAGGAAGUCUGGGGUACCGAAGUCGGUACCGUAAUAGGAGCUGCCUA
rnacentral:rRNA from 1 species